CAGUAGCCACGGGAAUACAGAGGGUGCGAGCGUUAAUCGGAUUUACUGGGCGUAAAUCGUGCGUAGGCGGCUAAUUGAGUCGGAUGUGAAAUCCCCGAGCUUAACUUGGGAAUUGCAUUCGAUACUGGUUAGCUAGAGUGUGGGAGAGGAUGGUAGAAUUCCAGGUGUAGCGGUGAAAUGCGUAGAGAUCGGGAGGAACAUCAGUGGCGAAGGCGGCCAUCUGGGACAACACUGACGCUGAGGCACGAAAGCGUGGGGAGCAAACAGGAUUAGAUACCCCAGUAGUCCCUGUCUCUUAUAC
rnacentral:rRNA from 1 species